rnacentral:rRNA from 1 species
UACGUAGGGUGCAAGCGUUGUCCGGAAUUAUUGGGCGUAAAGAGCUUGUAGGCGGUUUGUCGCGUCUGCUGUGAAAAUCCGGGGCUCAACCCCGGACUUGCAGUGGGUACGGGCAGACUAGAGUGUGGUAGGGGAGACUGGAAUUCUGGUGUAGCGGUGAAAUGCGCAGAUAUCAGGAGGAACACCGAUGGCGAAGGCAGGUCUCUGGGCCACUACUGACGCUGAGAAGCGAAAGCAUGGGGAGCGAACAGG